UUUUAUAAUAUAUAAAUAAAGUUGCUUUUUCC
rnacentral:piRNA from 1 species